rnacentral:rRNA from 1 species
AGAGUUUGAUCCUGGCUCAGAUUGAACGCUGGCGGCAUGCUUUACACAUGCAAGUCGAACGGUAACAGGGGAGCUUGCUCCCGCUGACGAGUGGCGAACGGGUGAGUAAUGCAUCGGAACGUGCCGAAUAGUGGGGGAUAACGCACCGAAAGGUGUGCUAAUACCGCAUACGCCCUGAGGGGGAAAGUGGGGGACCGCAAGGCCUCACGCUAAUCGAGCGGCCGAUGUCGGAUUAGCUAGUUGGUGGGGUAAAGGCUCACCAAGGCGACGAUCCGUAGCGGGUCUGAGAGGAUGAUCCGCCACACUGGGACUGAGACACGGCCCAGACUCCUACGGGAGGCAGCAGUGGGGAAUUUUGGACAAUGGGGGAAACCCUGAUCCAGCCAUCCCGCGUGUAUGAUGAAGGCCUUCGGGUUGUAAAGUACUUUUGGCAGAGAAGAAAAGGUACCUCCUAAUACGAGGUACUGCUGACGGUAUCUGCAGAAUAAGCACCGGCUAACUACGUGCCAGCAGCCGCGGUAAU